rnacentral:rRNA from 1 species
UACAGAGGUCUCAAGCGUUGUUCGGAUUCAUUGGGCGUAAAGCGCGCGUAGGCGGCUCGGAAAGUCGGUCGUGAAAUGCCGGGGCUCAACCCCGGGACUGCGUCCGAUACUCCCGAGCUGGAGGCAGGUAGGGGAGAUCGGAAUUCCUGGUGUAGCGGUGAAAUGCGCAGAUAUCAGGAGGAACACCUGCGGCGAAGGCGGGUUGCUGGGCCGACACUGACGCUGAGGCGCGAAAGCCAGGGGAGCGAACGGG